UUAAGUUAUUAAGGGCGCACGGUGGAUGCCUUGGCACUAGAAGCCGAUGAAGGACGUUACUAACGACGAUAUGCUUUGGGGAGCUGUAAGUAAGCUUUGAUCCAGAGAUUUCCGAAUGGGGAAACCCAGCAUGAGUUAUGUCAUGUUAUCGAUAUGUGAAUACAUAGCAUAUCAGAAGGCACACCCGGAGAACUGAAACAUCUUAGUACCCGGAGGAAGAGAAAGAAAAUUCGAUUCCCUUAGUAGCGGCGAGCGAAACGGGAAGAGCCCAAACCAACAAGCUUGCUUGUUGGGGUUGUAGGACACUCUAUACGGAGUUACAAAGGACGACAUUAGACGAAUCAUCUGGAAAGAUGAAUCAAAGAAGGUAAUAAUCCUGUAGUCGAAAAUGUUGUCUCUCUUGAGUGGAUCCUGAGUACGACGGAGCACGUGAAAUUCCGUCGGAAUCUGGGAGGACCAUCUCCUAAGGCUAAAUACUCUCUAGUGACCGAUAGUGAACCAGUACCGUGAGGGAAAGGUGAAAAGCACCCCGGAAGGGGAGUGAAAUAGAACCUGAAACCGUGUGCUUACAAGUAGUCAGAGCCCGUUAAUGGGUGAUGGCGUGCCUUUUGUAGAAUGAACCGGCGAGUUACGAUUUGAUGCAAGGUUAAGCAGUAAAUGUGGAGCCGUAGCGAAAGCGAGUCUGAAUAGGGCGUUUAGUAUUUGGUCGUAGACCCGAAACCAGGUGAUCUACCCUUGGUCAGGUUGAAGUUCAGGUAACACUGAAUGGAGGACCGAACCGACUUACGUUGAAAAGUGAGCGGAUGAACUGAGGGUAGCGGAGAAAUUCCAAUCGAACCUGGAGAUAGCUGGUUCUCUCCGAAAUAGCUUUAGGGCUAGCCUCAAGUGAUGAUUAUUGGAGGUAGAGCACUGUUUGGACGAGGGGCCCCUCUCGGGUUACCGAAUUCAGACAAACUCCGAAUGCCAAUUAAUUUAACUUGGGAGUCAGAACAUGGGUGAUAAGGUCCGUGUUCGAAAGGGAAACAGCCCAGACCACCAGCUAAGGUCCCAAAAUAUAUGUUAAGUGGAAAAGGAUGUGGCGUUGCCCAGACAACUAGGAUGUUGGCUUAGAAGCAGCCAUCAUUUAAAGAGUGCGUAAUAGCUCACUAGUCGAGUGACACUGCGCCGAAAAUGUACCGGGGCUAAACAUAUUACCGAAGCUGUGGAUUGUCCUUUGGACAAUGGUAGGAGAGCGUUCUAAGGGCGUUGAAGCAUGAUCGUAAGGACAUGUGGAGCGCUUAGAAGUGAGAAUGCCGGUGUGAGUAGCGAAAGACGGGUGAGAAUCCCGUCCACCGAUUGACUAAGGUUUCCAGAGGAAGGCUCGUCCGCUCUGGGUUAGUCGGGUCCUAAGCUGAGGCCGACAGGCGUAGGCGAUGGAUAACAGGUUGAUAUUCCUGUACCACCUAUAAUCGUUUUAAUCGAUGGGGGGACGCAGUAGGAUAGGCGAAGCGUGCGAUUGGAUUGCACGUCUAAGCAGUAAGGCUGAGUAUUAGGCAAAUCCGGUACUCGUUAAGGCUGAGCUGUGAUGGGGAGAAGACAUUGAGUCUUCGAGUCGUUGAUUUCACACUGCCGAGAAAAGCCUCUAGAUAGAAAAUAGGUGCCCGUACCGCAAACCGACACAGGUAGUCAAGAUGAGAAUUCUAAGGUGAGCGAGCGAACUCUCGUUAAGGAACUCGGCAAAAUGACCCCGUAACUUCGGGAGAAGGGGUGCUCUUUAGGGUUAACGCCCAGAAGAGCCGCAGUGAAUAGGCCCAAGCGACUGUUUAUCAAAAACACAGGUCUCUGCUAAACCGUAAGGUGAUGUAUAGGGGCUGACGCCUGCCCGGUGCUGGAAGGUUAAGAGGAGUGGUUAGCUUCUGCGAAGCUACGAAUCGAAGCCCCAGUAAACGGCGGCCGUAACUAUAACGGUCCUAAGGUAGCGAAAUUCCUUGUCGGGUAAGUUCCGACCCGCACGAAAGGCGUAACGAUUUGGGCACUGUCUCAACGAGAGACUCGGUGAAAUCAUAGUACCUGUGAAGAUGCAGGUUACCCGCGACAGGACGGAAAGACCCCGUGGAGCUUUACUGUAGCCUGAUAUUGAAAUUCGGCACAGCUUGUACAGGAUAGGUAGGAGCCUUUGAAACGUGAGCGCUAGCUUACGUGGAGGCGCUGGUGGGAUACUACCCUAGCUGUGUUGGCUUUCUAACCCACACCACUUAUCGUGGUGGGAGACAGUGUCAGGCGGGCAGUUUGACUGGGGCGGUCGCCUCCUAAAAGGUAACGGAGGCGCUCAAAGGUUCCCUCAGAAUGGUUGGAAAUCAUUCAUAGAGUGUAAAGGCAUAAGGGAGCUUGACUGCGAGACCUACAAGUCGAGCAGGGUCGAAAGACGGACUUAGUGAUCCGGUGGUUCCGCAUGGAAGGGCCAUCGCUCAACGGAUAAAAGCUACCCCGGGGAUAACAGGCUUAUCUCCCCCAAGAGUUCACAUCGACGGGGAGGUUUGGCACCUCGAUGUCGGCUCAUCGCAUCCUGGGGCUGUAGUCGGUCCCAAGGGUUGGGCUGUUCGCCCAUUAAAGCGGUACGCGAGCUGGGUUCAGAACGUCGUGAGACAGUUCGGUCCCUAUCCGUCGUGGGCGUAGGAAAUUUGAGAGGAGCUGUCCUUAGUACGAGAGGACCGGGAUGGACAUACCUCUGGUGUACCAGUUGUCGUGCCAACGGCAUAGCUGGGUAGCUAUGUGUGGACGGGAUAAGUGCUGAAAGCAUCUAAGCAUGAAGCCCCCCUCAAGAUGAGAUUUCCCAACUUCGGUUAUAAGAUCCCUCAAAGAUGAUGAGGUUAAUAGGUUCGAGGUGGAAGCAUGGUGACAUGUGGAGCUGACGAAUACUAAUCGAUCGAAGACUUAAUCAA
rnacentral:rRNA from 1 species